AGGUGCCGGGGCUUCUCCCGUUU
rnacentral:tRNA from 1 species